rnacentral:rRNA from 1 species
GGGGGGGGGGGCCUAUACAUGCAGUCGAGCGCGCCCUUCGGGGUGAGCGGCGGACGGGUGAGUAACGCGUGGGAAUAUGCCCUUCUCUAAGGAAUAGCCUCGGGAAACUGAGAGUAAUACCUUAUACGCCCUACGGGGGAGAGAUUUAUCGGAGAAGGAUUAGCCCGCGUUAGAUUAGGUAGUUGGUGGGGUAAUGGCCUACCAAGCCUACGAUCUAUAGCUGGUUUGAGAGGAUGAUCAGCCACACUGGGACUGAGACACGGCCCAGACUCCUACGGGAGGCAGCAGUAGGGAAUCUUAGACAAUGGGGGAAACCCUGAUCUAGCCAUGCCGCGUGUGUGAUGAAGGCCUUAGGGUCGUAAAGCACUUUCGCCAGAGAUGAUAAUGACAGUAUCUGGUAAAGAAACCCCGGCUAACUCCGUGCCAGCAGCCGCGGUAAC